CAGGUUCCUGCCCCUGCACUUGGCGGUGUCUACCCAAGCUGCCUGAGCCGGCCAUGUGAGCAGCGCCUCCAGUACCGCCACAGUGAAAGGGAGGCCGAGCAUCCUGGAGCCCAUGAACCCACACAGCCCCCAUAAGCUGCCCAACAUCUUCUGGUGGUUUCUGUUCAACCCCAGAGACUCUUGGAGUUUACCUUAACACUGUCACCUUCCCAAACUCCAUGGAGGAGGGGCUGAGCCUCUUAGCAUCUUCUGGGACGGCCCCUUCCUCAUGGGGGUGGGUGGUGAGGGCGGUGCAGGGGGAGACUAGGAGGGCUCCUGCAUCUCCUGGUCCCUCUGUGGAUAAAUACACGGCCAGUGCCCCAGGCCUGGGUCCAUAUGAACACUCUCCCUCCCCCACCACCAGGAAAAGCAGUCACAGCUACAGGUGGGCAUCCUCCCCUCCUCCCCACUGUGCUCCCAGGCACCUGCUGGCUGUGCUAUGCUCUGCAACACAGGGCUGCCGGCCAGGGUGGGGCCACAGUUAGUCUCAUUCCACCUGUGCCGUCUCUGACUCACUGCACUGUCCGAGUGGGCAGAAGGUAGGUGCCGGCUCCAGGGCCAGGGGACACUUAGCAACUGCUCAGAAUCUCCCAAAGGUGGCUUUUCCUCAAGGUACCAUCUCCUUCCUCCUUUCACCAGCUCUCCCAAAAACAGGUGUGAGAACUAGUCCCUUGAUGUGAGAGAUACUGUGAAGUUCUUGCUUUAUUUUAAACCCCAGCUUAAUCAGAUGAUUUUUCUUGUGGGCUAAGCACUUUCAUCCUUUGCCUCCUUGAGAAAAUUGUCAAAGCUGAAGGUCUCCUUGCCAAUGAAUCAAUUUCUGCCUCUAGCACCUUUUCCCUCUUUCACUUCCAUUGUGCAAAUAACCAGUUCAUGCUCUGGGUCGGUUGGCUGAGCAGACAGGCAGGUGGCACCUGCACAGGUAAGUGGUUGGGAUGAAAGUCAGGUCCUUUUUUCUCCCUCCACAACCAGAACCCCAAUUAACCUGGUACCCACAAGUUCCCGCCCUGGCUAGCGCCCUCCAACUGGGCCCAUUUUGCAUUCAAUGCGAUUCCAAAAACAAAAAAAAGUGUUUCACGUAAGCCCUUAAGAUACAACAAGAGUAGGGCAGAAUUUUAAUACUGGUUUUGCUUUAAGACGCAAGUAAGUCUCUUUUGGGAGCCAGCAUGAAGUGGGGGCACCACCACUAUCCAACUGCAGAUGGGGUUGGCUCCAGGCAACAGGUGGAUGCUGGACGGGGAAACCAGGAAAGGCUGGGCCCUACAAGGAGCCCACCAUGACCUGCAAAGGCCAAGGAGGCCAAGCACUCAGGAACUGCAGGAAGACAGGCUGUAGGGGACAUCAGGAGAACUAAGUGUCUUAGUCUGUUUUGUGUUUCUAUAACAGAACACCACAGACUGGGCCGUUUAUAAAGAAAAAUUUAUUUUGCGCAGUUCUGGAGGUUGGGAAGUCCAAAGUCGAGUGGCCGUAUCCGGUGAGAGCCCUCCUGCAGCAUCAUCCCAUGACGGAAGGUGUCCCAUGGUGAGAGAGCACGUAUACCAGCUCAGGUCUCCCUUCCUUUUCUCAUAAGGCCACAUCCCCCAUCGGGUCCCAUCCUGAUGUCCUCAUCUAAUCCUAGUUACCUCCCAAAGGCCCCACCUCCAAUCAACAUGUGACUAUGGGGAGUAAGUUUCCAGCCUAUGAAACUGGGGGACACAUUCAAACCACAGCACCAAGCAAGCUGGAGCAGCCAAGAGGAAGCCACAUGUUCCUGCAGGGCAGGGCAGCCUCCACCAUGCAGGGCUGGGACAGGCCAGGGCAGUGAGGGCUCAUGGGGGCCGCACCCACGCCAGCUCCUGCAGCACCAGCCUCUGGCCAGCUGUGUGCCUGGAGCAGAGGGGAGCAGGACCCACGUCCCAGUCCCCCACAUCCCAGAUCUCACCGAAGAGAUCAACUAGCCUAGGGCCAGGCCAGUAGGAGAGGACCUUGUCCAUUUUCUCCAUGAAAAGUCAACAUUUAUCUCUCCAAGUACAAGUCACUUCCUAAUCUUGAGAUGUGUGGAAACAAGCUCUUUAUGCUGAAAAUCAACUUCUACAUUUUAGUUCUGAGAUGUGAUUCUGCCAGCCAUGGUGGACGAGGAGGAUGGUAGGGACUUAGCUAGAGUAGCACGUCCUCACUAGACAGGGGUGGGUGGUGUGGGGAGGUGGGGGGCUUGGCCUUAGCCUGAGUGUGACGUUCAGCCUGCAUCUUGAGCACAGUGAGAGCCUGAGCCACUGCACCACUGAAGAUGCUUAGAAGAGAGACCACAGCAGGCGAGGAGGCUUCCCAGGGGUCUGCGCUGACAAACCAGGGAUGAGGGUGGCCAGCUGUGCAUGAGCCCCCCAGCGCCCAUGCAGGCGUCCCCACCUUCACCACCUAAGUGUGGUCACGCACCCAGGGAGAGCUUUCAACCUGGCUCUCUCAAGUGUGUUUCUAAACACUAGAGCCAGGAAUCCUGUCCUGUGGGUCCCUGAAACAUAACCGGUGAGCCCAAGAUCUCCUCGGAGAAACAAGGCUCCCCUUAGGGAGGGCCCAGGAACGUGGGGGCCUCUGUGAGGCAGAGGGUCCCAGAGGGUAUGACCGUUUCUGCAGAAUGGUGGCCACUCUGCAGAAACAAAAUCACAGCCCAGGAAGAGCUGCCAAAGUGGGGGCCAGGGGAGCCGGAGAGGGGGACUGAGCCAGAUGCCUGCAGAGCCGUGGCUCACAGCCUCUAGGAGGUACGCCCAUGAAUGUUUCAGAACACAUUUGAGGACUGACGUAUGUGACCAACUUUUUCUUUUGUUAAGCAAGGAUUUUUAAUCACCAUUACUGGAUUAAAGAAAAAACAUUUUGGCUGGGUGCAGUGGCUCACACCUUUAAUCCUAGCACUUUGGGAGGCUGAGGCAGGCGGAUCACUUGAGGUCAGGAGUUUGAGACCAGCCUAAGCAACAUGGCGAAAUGCCAUCUCUACUAAAAAUACAAAAAUUAGCCAGGCCUGAUGACACGCACCUGUACACCUGUAGUCCCAGCUACCUGGGAGGCUGAGGCAUGAGAAUUGCUUGAACCUGGGGAGGCGGAGGUUGCAGUGAGAUGAGAUGGUGCCACUGCACUCCAGCCUGGGUGACAGAGUGAGACUCCAUCUCAAAAUAAAUAAAUAAAUGACAUUUUAAUACCACAAUUAGGAUAAUUUCAGAAUAAAAAUUUUUUUUCUUUAAAACUUUGUAGAAAAUCCCACACACCCAAUUUGGCCUUGUCUGGGAAAUGUGAGGAUUCCUGUCUCCUGGGACAGACAGUCUCACUGCCAGGCAUCCUCCCCCUGCAGUGAUUCACAUCCUACAAUGUCUGCCCUGAUGUGUCAAUUGUAGAGUAGGUCCCUCAUGGAGGCCCAGAGGCCCCAGCCCAGAGCCCGUCUGUCAGUCAUUGGCUGAGAGUGGUUGGGACAGGUGACCCCGCAGUUGAGGCGACCCCCCACGAUCUCUGGAAAAGGCAGCUGAGCCCCAGUUGCAGCAGGUUGGGGGAGAUGGUGCUGCCACAGCACAAAGGACCUAGCCCCAGUGGCACCCACCACUGUCAGAACUCUCCACUGAGGGCCAGGGUGGAUCUUUCCUCCCACAUCCAAGCGCAUCUGACAUCUUCACCUUGAAUCCUGAGUUUCUCUCUUAACUCUGUCUCACUUUGUCAUGAACAAACUCUUUCUUGAAAGUUGUAUUUCUCUGGGGCCAGAAAGGCGAGGAAAGAGGCGCUUUCUCCUGGGAGGUGGGCCUCGUGUGUCCCUGUCGUGGCUGAGAGUGACUGCCCCAGCACCUAUGAAGAAAGCCCAGAGACUCUGGAGGCUCAGCUGGGAUAACGCCUGGCGUGCUCGGGGGUCAUGGCCACCGCCUGGACUCUGGAAAAAUGGGAAAAAUGCUCUUGGCAGACAGCGGGGCAGUCAGGAGGGAGCUGGCCCCACCAGCCCAGGCAACGCCCAAGAGCUGUCCUCCCACUCGGCUCCAGGAGACGUUUAAAUGGGGCCUGACUCCCCCAUCUCUGAUUUAAAAGAUAACCAGAAGCAGCAGAGAAAACAUCUGAAGUGCUUCCUGGACACACCUGUUAGGAAGUUUCUGCAAGAACCCAGCCCCAGCCCCAGGAAGAGAACGGCAGCAGGAAAAGUUAGAGAGGAGAGGGAGCAGGAGGUGGAGAGCUCGGCCCCUCCUUCGCUGCUGCCCUCUGGGUGACGCUCAGCGGAGGCGCCACGUAGCAGCUGCGAGAGCCCCGAGACAACCUCUGCACUGUUUAUGGGAUCGCAUUAGGGGAGCAGCGGCCCUGCAUGACCCCACAGGGCUGCCCAGGUCAGGUGCUCAGAACACAAAAGAAAGUGAGACAAAGUCGCCACCCUGGAGUUUACGAGCUGGCGUGGGAGACAGGCUGGCACUGAGGAUGACAGUGGAGAGAGAUCGGGCUGGGAAGAACCGGAGGCGCUGGGGAAGCCGGGUCAGCAGGGAGACCCCAGCAGAGUGGGAGCCGGAGGACGGCGGCGACUGCAGCCCGACUGUUUCAGGUGGCGUCCUCGUCACGAGAGGAGCUUGAGCGGGUCGUGGCCUUCCUGGCAACCUGCCUACAGAGAAAACGAUUGCUGGGUGCAGAUGUCUCGAACAUUUAUUGCAUUCCACGUUGUCAGUCAAUAAAACAGCUUUGCGAGCGUAAUACUGACAAAAUCAAGUUCAGGCGGUAAGCCCCAGGGCUUCCAAGAAAAGUGGAUCGGGGGGCUUGCUCAGCUCUGGUAUCCAGGGGGGGCCACUGCCUGGUUCCCAGGCAAAGGAGUACAAACUGCCGGGAGAAACAAGGACCCUGCAGGAAGAAGGGACCUGCCCGACUUGUUCCCCCGCACCCACAUCAGGAAUUUUCCCAGAAAGCCAUCCACUUUGUUAGAGACAAAAUAAAGGUCAUUUGGAGAAAAACCUGCCAGCAGCUGCUGCUGCUUGAAAAUAGAAAAGAUUUUAAAAGUAGCAGUGUUGGGAGGCCAAGGCAGGCAGAUCACCUGAGGUCAGGAGUUCGAGACCAGCCUGGCCAACAUGGCGAAACCCCGUCUCUACUAAAAAUAGAAAAAUUAGCUGGGCAUGGUGGUGAGCACCUGUAAUCCCAGCUACUCGGGAGGCUGAGGCAGGAGAAUCACUUAAACCUGGGAGGCGAAGAUUGCAAUGAGCUGAGAUUGUGCCACUGCACUCCAGCCUGGGCAACAGAGCAGGACAUCGUCUCAAAAAAAAAAAAAAAAUGCAGCAGUGGUUUGAAAUCAUGCAUUUUUAUGUGUUAUCCUCAAACAUCUGAGGGAGAUAAGAAAGAAUAUACCACGGAUGAGAAUAUUUAUAAUUAUCAGAAAAAAAACUGCCUCCUAGGAACAAUCCUGUGAGCUCCAUCAUCAAAUCUGAUUCAGAAGCCUCCAAAUCCCCUACUUGCCCUGGCAGCUGCUACCCACCUCACAGCUGUCCUUUGCAGAUUACUACAAAUGUUCUCUUAAAUAUUCAUUUAUCCCCCAGCAUUGACAGGUCCUCCUUCCCACCAGACAUGAGGAUUUUAACUUGAUCAUCUCUGCAAAGACCUUAUCUUCAAAUACAGUUACAUUCUGAAGUCCUGGGGGUUAGGGCUGCAACACCCGAAUUGGUGGAGACAAAAUCCAGCUCCUGACAAUACCGCGUAUGAUAGCUGCGUCUCUGCCUGCAGUACUGUUUUCCAGGGAAAGCAUCUUUGAGUGUAUUCAGAAAGCCUCUCUCUGGGGCCAGGCCUUGCAGAGAAUCCUUCAGAAACUGGACAACCCCACCCAAGGCAGUCAGUGGGGAGGACACAUUUGGUGCCUCAUUGGUCCCUGGAUCUGCCUCACAGUCCUCAAUGUUCCUCCUCGUUCCCUCUACUCUUUCUCCUCUUUGGUUGACCUUGAAGCUCAUUCCUGGUGAAGGCCCCGUGGGAGCAGUGCAAUGACAAGAGGAGCCUGUUUUCAAUAGCACCCUCACGCUCUCCAGGGGUCCAUUGGAGGCGCCUAUGACCUCCUGAUGCUGAGGAGCCUAGAGUGGGCAGCCCUCGGGCCCAGGCUCCACCUGGGUGAGGCCUGUUUUAUUAUCAAUACUCACCACAGUCAUUUGUGGGAGUGUAAUGCUCAUAUUCCCAUUUAAGAGAUGAAUAAACUGAGGCAAGGUGAAGUGACUCAGCUGAGGCCACACCACAGUUUAAUGGGGAAGCCAGGAUAAGAGCUGGCGGCUUCUAUGUCUGAUCUACACUCUGAUGGGAGGUCGUCAGAGAGCCAUGUAAACGGUGAGGAGGUGACAUGCUGGUCCCUUCCAUAAAAGCUGUUUUGCAAAAUUAAAACACACACACAGUAAAGAUCCAGAUUUAUGCAAGUGAGAGUGAGGGGCUGACUAUUUACCAGUCAACAGAUCUCCCCAAAUGGUUCUCUGCUUGGGGUUGAGAUGCUCCUGACCAGCAGGGCUUGGGGAGAGACAUUCUUGCUCCCCCUAGAGCUGGCUGACCCAUACCCAGGGGAUUCUGAGCACCAGGGGCUGGGAGCAGCAUGUACCACGUGUUUCCCAAGAGUUAGUCAUGUUUGCUCCUAAAACUUAUUGUAAUCGAGGAAUCUAAUUAAACAAUACACCAACUGAAGAAACAGUGCAAAAAGAAUGAGUGACUGUUUCUAUGAAAACUUAGAUGAACUACUUUGGAAAGAUUCAAUAAAAAGCAUGCCUAAAUACAUAUACUGGGGCCAGGAGCAGUGAUUCACACUUGUAACCCCAGUGCUUUGGGAGGCUGAGGUGGGAGGGUGGCUUGAGGCUAGGAGUUUGAAACCAGCCUAGGCAACAUAGCAAGACCCUGUCUCUACAAAAAAACAAAAAUUUUUCAACUGGUUGUGGCAGCACCUGCCUAUGGUCCCAGCUGCUCUGGAAGCUGAGGUGAGAGGAUCACUCGAGCCCAGGAGUUCAGGCUGCAGUGAGCCGCAAGUGUGCCACUGCACUCCACCCUGGGCAACAGAGCAAGACCCUGUCUCUAAAAAAAUAAAUAAAAUAUGUACAUCCAGAUACAGUAUUAUGUGUGGGCGAGACACCGGUAAAAGAUGGAAACAAUCAUAAAAGUCAGGCAGGAUUCCACCUAAGAUUGUCUUUAGCUCUCAAUCUACCUUGUUUUAAAAUUUUUUUAUGAGCCAUAAAAGACCUAAGACUAGUCUUUAUUGUACAACUUGAUGAAUUCUGAUCCUGUGGCCAUACAGUUCAAAAUAGAGCAUUCUAGCACUCAGAAAGCUCCCUAGUGCCCUCAUCAGUUGGUGCCUGUCAACCCCAAGGAUGUCAUAGUCAUUUGGACACCCCUGGCACAGUCAUUCCACUUAGAGACUCUGCCAGAAGUCCCAGAUCAUAAUCAGGAGUGAAAUUUACACAAGAAGGGGCCGGAAGCCCUAGUGAGUAGUGAACUCAACUCCAAAAUAACCCUACACUAAAAAUAAAACUGGAACGUACUUUUUAUGUUUGAAAUUUAAAUAAGAUAGAUGUAUUUUUGUUAAAUCGUUCCAACCUGUACAACUUUUCUAUUCAUCAGCCAACUAGCCAGAGAAAGGGGGUUUCUGCUGCUGUCAGAGUAUAAAAAUGAGCUGCAAUUUUCAAAAUUUGACCUCAUCUAACUUUCUCCAGCUAUGCCAUUCCUGGAGCAUCCUCAGUCCAGUGCCUGAUGCGUAAAACAUAAUAAAAAGGUGACCCCACCACACCAAACACUGGGGUGUCUGUAGCAGUGACCGCGUCUCACGGGGAUUUUGUCUGAAUGCCUGUUCCUCCACUCGCCUAAUCCAUGGAGGUCAGGGAACCACGCAC
rnacentral:lncRNA from 10 species